rnacentral:rRNA from 1 species
GUGGGGAAUAUUGGGCAAUGGGCGAAAGCCUGACCCAGCAACGCCGCGUGAAGGAAGAAGGUCUUCGGAUUGUAAACUUCUUUUAUGAGGGACGAAGGACGUGACGGUACCUCAUGAAUAAGCCACGGCUAACUACGUGCCAGCAGCCGCGGUAAUACGUAGGUGGCAAGCGUUAUCCGGAUUUACUGGGUGUAAAGGGCGCGUAGGCGGGGAUGCAAGUCAGAUGUGAAAUCUAUGGGCUUAACUCAUAAACUGCAUUUGAAACUGUAUCUCUUGAGUGCUGGAGAGGUAGAUGGAAUUCCUUGUGUAGCGGUGAAAUGCGUAGAUAUAAGGAAGAACACCAGUGGCGAAGGCGAUCUACUGGACAGUAACUGACGCUGAGGCGCGAAAGCGUGGGGAGCAAACAGG